CCGUCGAUAGCUCAGUUGGUAGAGCGGAGGACUGUAGAGUUGCUGCAAUCCUUAGGUCGCUGGUUCGAAUCCGACUCGACGGA
rnacentral:tRNA from 1 species